GGGAACAUACCCUUUUCUACGGAAUAGCUCUGGGAAACUGGAAUUAAUACCGUAUACGCCCUACGGGGGAAAGAUUUAUCGGGGAAGGAUUGGCCCGCGUUGGAUUAGCUAGUUGGUGGGGUAAAGGCCUACCAAGGCGACGAUCCAUAGCUGGUCUGAGAGGAUGAUCAGCCACAUUGGGACUGAGACACGGCCCAAACUCCUACGGGAGGCAGCAGUGGGGAAUAUUGGACAAUGGGCGCAAGCCUGAUCCAGCCAUGCCGCGUGAGUGAUGAAGGCCUUAGGGUUGUAAAGCUCUUUCACCGAUGAAGAUAAUGACGGUAGUCGGAGAAGAAGCCCCGGCUAACUUCGUGCCAGCAGCCGCGGUAAUACGAAGGGGGCUAGCGUUGUUCGGAAUUACUGGGCGUAAAGCGCACGUAGGCGGAUAUUUAAGUCAGGGGUGAAAUCCCAGAGCUCAACUCUGGAACUGCCUUUGAUACUGGGUAUCUUGAGUAUGGAAGAGGUAAGUGGAAUUGCGAGU
rnacentral:rRNA from 1 species